UACAGAGGGGGCAAGCGUUAUUCGGAAUUAUUGGGCGUAAAGGGCGCGUAGGCGGCCGUGCAAGUGGAAGGUGAAAUCCCUCGGCUCAACCGAGGAACUGCCUUUCAAACUGCUUGGCUUGAGUCCGGGAGAGGUGAGUGGAAUUCCCAGUGUAGCGGUGAAAUGCGUAGAUAUUGGGAGGAACACCAGUGGCGAAGGCGGCUCACUGGACCGGUACUGACGCUGAUGCGCGAAAGCGUGGGGAGCAAACGGG
rnacentral:rRNA from 1 species